rnacentral:rRNA from 1 species
CCUACGGGAGGCAGCAGUGAGGAAUAUUGGUCAAUGGGCGCGAGCCUGAACCAGCCAAGUAGCGUGAAGGAUGACUGCCCUACGGGUUGUAAACUUCUUUUAUAAAGGGAUAAAGUGAGGCACGUGUGCCUUUUUGUAUGUACUUUAUGAAUAAGGAUCGGCUAACUCCGUGCCAGCAGCCGCGGUAAUACGGAGGAUCCGAGCGUUAUCCGGAUUUAUUGGGUUUAAAGGGAGCGUAGAUGGGUUGUUAAGUCAGUGGUGAAAGUUUGCGGCUCAACCGUAAAAUUGCAAUUGAUACUGGCAGCCUUGAGUACGGUUGAGGUAGGCGGAAUUCGUGGGGUAGCGGUGAAAUGCUUAGAUAUCACGAAGAACUCCGAUUGCGAAGGCAGCUUACUAAGCUGCCACUGACAUUGAUGCUCGAAAGUGUGGGUAUCAAACAGGAUUAGAUACCCGAGUAGUC